AGUGAACGCUGGCGGUAGGCCUAACACAUGCAAGUCGAACGAGUGGCGGACGGGUGAGGAAUACAUCGGAAUCUACUCUGUCGUGGGGGAUAACGUAGGGAAACUUACGCUAAUACCGCAUACGAUUGAAUGAGCCGAUGUCGGAUUAGCUAGUGGGUGGGGUAAAGGCCCACCAAGGCGACGAUCCGUAGCUGGUCUGAGAGGAUGAUCAGCCACACUGGAACGGGGAAACGGUCCAGACUCCUACGGGAGGCAGCAGUGGGGAAUAUGGGAAAAGGGGGGCAGGCCUGUGCCAGCCAUACCGGGGGGGUGAGGAAGGCCUUCGGGUGGUAAAGCCUUUUUGUUGGGAGGCGUUACUAACAGAAUAAGCACCGGCUAACUUCGUGCCAGCAGCCGCGGUAAUAC
rnacentral:rRNA from 1 species